CAGGUCAGACAGGGGAGCCCUUCACGGGCUGAGAGUGCGGAUCGCCGCAGACCCUCCGAACCUGAUCCGGUUAGCACCGGCGAAGGGAGUCACCACGUGCGUGCG
rnacentral:ncRNA from 2 species